rnacentral:misc_RNA from 1 species
AACAUAACCAGCUUUUCAGAUGGCCAGGCCAAAAUUCUGGAAAAUGAAGGGUCGCCCACAGAUCCUGACGUUGGAGAGGAUGCAAAGUUUGCAUUUCAAGUAGACAUCACUCCAAAUGGGGGACCCUAUCUCGGAGGUACUUUUAGAUUCAAGAUUGUUGUUGAGAAUGAGAAUCGAUGGCCCCAGGACCCACCAACUGUACGAUGUUUAACGGAUAUCUACCAUCCAAACAUUGAUAAUUUUGAGGAAGGGGAGUACUCCAAUGUUUGUGUGAAUGCCCUCGAUCUCUGUACUUGGGAUAGUCAGUUUGACUUUGAGACUUGCAUCCAGUCUCUUCUUUUUCUCUUCUAUGAGCCAAACUUUGAUGAUGUUCUGAGCUUGAUUUGCUGUUCAGAUGAAAAUUUUCAAGAGCUGGUGCAGACUUCUCUUAAAGGUGGCAUUGUAGAUGGAAUCCCUUUCAAACCUAAUGAAGGCUGGUUAAAGAAGAAAGGAGGAGGCAAUUCUAGUCAGGAAAAAGAAAAUGAAAUAGACACUUGAGCAGAAAAGAAGUUUCUGUUACUGUAUUAGAUUGUCAGGGCCUAUGUACUCAACACUUAGAGUGAAUGACGCAUGGAUCAAUUUAAUUGUUCUGACCAUUUGUUGUUGUUGAAAUAAAAUUAAGUCAUUUUG